rnacentral:ncRNA from 1 species
GAUAGAGGUGCGGUUCUGCGUGUAACUCAGCUUAGGCUGCCAAAGCCUGUGAGGUUGUGUGAAUAGCCUGACCGCCGAAAAGCUGAAUUUGGCAUAUUUGGCUUUGGUUAUUCACCGCAGUGGUGUUUGACUGUCAUCAUAAUUUGUUUUGUGAUGGGGAGCUAUCGU